UGUUGCAGUACCAUAGCCCACUGAACACACCCGCUUAUCUAAUAUCUGAGCUUAGCAGGAUCGGGCCUGGUUAGUACUUGGAUGGGAGACAGCCUGGAAAUACCAGGUACUGCAAAAA
rnacentral:rRNA from 1 species